GGAUAUGUGGCAAUCUGACUGUGACAUUUUGAUUCAGUUGACCUGGCUGGUGAGAGAAGAAUUCCCCUUCUCGUCACUCCAUAUGCAUCCCUACCCAAGCCGAGUGCCCUUCGGUCAAAGAGGACAACCUUCCCAUAGAGGGGGAUCAUUCUUCAGUCACAGGUGUAUGAAUAGCUGCUCUCUCCUGUUAGAACCUUCAAACACGCUCUCAAGAGGUUCUGGGCAGUCCAAAAACAUGAAAAACAUCUACUGAAGGACUUGGCUCUGAAACAUUAACAUACUUACACU
rnacentral:snRNA from 1 species